GAUGGGCAUGCGUGCCAUUAGUUAGUUGGUGAGGUUACGGCUCACCAAGACAACGAUGGCUAGGGGGUCUGAGAGGAUGAUCCCCCACACUGGUACUGAGACACGGACCAGACUCCUACGGGAGGCAGCAGUGAGGAAUAUUGGUCAAUGGACGCAAGUCUGAACCAGCCAUGCCGCGUGCAGGAUGAAUGCCCUAUGGGUUGUAAACUGCUUUUCUACAAGAAGAAACUUCCUGAUGUAUCAGGAACUGACGGUAUUGUAGGAAUAAGCAUCGGCUAACUCCGUGCCAGCAGCCGCGGUAAUACGGAGGAUGCAAGCGUAAUCCGGAUUCAUUGGGUUUAAAGGGUGCGUAGGCGGGGUAGUAAGUCACUGGUGAAAGCCUGCGGCUUAACCGUAGAAUUGCCAUUGAUACUGCUAUUCUUGAGUGCAGUUGAGGUAGGCGGAAUGUGUAAUGUAGCGGUGAAAUGCUUAGAUAAUACACAGAACACCGAUUGCGUAGGCAGCUUACUAAACUGUAACUGACGCUGAGGCACGAAAGCGUGGGGAGCGAACAGGAUAAGAUACCCUGGUAGUUCCACGCUGUAAACUAUGUUCACUCGCUGUUGCCGAUACAUUGUCACCGGCUGAGCGAAAGCAGUAAGUGAUCCACCUGGGCGAGUACGGCCGCAUAGGUUGAAACUCAAAGGAAUUGACGGGGGCCCGCACAAGCCGGUGGAACAUGUGGUUUAAUUCGAUGAUACGCGAGGAACCUUACCUGGGCUUAUAUGCAGAACGACGUACCGGGAAACUGGUACUCCCUUCGGGCCGGACUGCAAGGUGCUGCAUUGGUUGUCGUCAGCUCGUGCCGUGAGGUGUCGGGUUAAGUCCCAUAACGAGCGCAACCCUCAUUGUUAAGUUGCCAGCGAGUAAUGUCGGGGACUCUAACGAAACUGCCGGUGUAAACCGCGA
rnacentral:rRNA from 1 species